RAGUUUGAUCCUGGCUCAGAACGAACGCUGGCGGCGUGCCUAACACAUGCAAGUCGAACGGAUUUGAGGAGCUUGCUUCUCAAGUUAGUGGCGCMCGGGUGAGUAACGCGUAGAUAACCUGCCCUGGUAUCUGGGAUAACAUCUCGAAAGGGGUGCUAAUACCGGAUAAGCCUACGGAUUCUUCGGAGUCUGCAGGAAAAGGUGGCCUCUAUUUAUAAGCUACCGUAUCAGGAUGGGUCCGCGUACCAUUAGCUAGUUGGUGGGGUAAUGGCCUACCAAGGCGACGAUGGUUAGCUGGUCUGAGAGGAUGAUCAGCCACACUGGAACUGAGACACGGUCCAGACUCCUACGGGAGGCAGCAGUGGGGAAUUUUGCGCAAUGGGGGAAACCCUGACGCAGCAACGCCGCGUGAGUGAUGAAGGCUUUCGGGUCGUAAAGCUCUGUCAGAGGGGAAGAAAUGGGUCGUGCUAAUAUCACGGCCUCUUGACGGUACCCUCAAAGGAAGCACCGGCUAACUCCGUGCCAGCAGCCGCGGUAAUAC
rnacentral:rRNA from 1 species